AUACCAAGACGGCAGUUCAAAUGCAAAGCUAACAUGACCGAUCUUUAUGACCUGCUGAACACGACUGAUUGGAUAUGGAUACAUAGGGCAUCCCAGGAAGCGAUCAGUUAUGACGCAAGAUGGAAAUGCCUGAGCUACCAACCGUUCAACUUAACUAACACUAGCGUCAUCUUAUACUACGAUAUGUACAGCUACGAUUCAGCGAAUGUAGAAAUGGUGCACGCUAAUUUGUCAUACGAAGGCAAGCCGACCAUGACUGAGCACUGGAGGAUAUACACUCGAGGAAGU